rnacentral:rRNA from 1 species
GAUGAACGCUGGCGGCGUGCCUAACACAUGCAAGUCGAGCGAAGCACUUUGAUUUGAUUCUUCGGAUGAAGAUUUUUGUGACUGAGCGGCGGACGGGUGAGUAACGCGUGGGCAACCUGCCUUACACAGGGGGAUAACAGUCAGAAAUGACUGCUAAUACCGCAUAAGACCGCAGGAUCGCAUGGUCCGGUGGUAAAAACUCCGGUGGUGUAAGAUGGGCCCGCGUCUGAUUAGGUGGUUGGCGGGGUAACGGCCCACCAAGCCGACGAUCAGUAGCCGACCUGAGAGGGUGACCGGCCACAUUGGGACUGAGACACGGCCCAG